rnacentral:rRNA from 1 species
UCCGGUGGUCAUAGCGUCGGUGUCACACCCGUUCCCAUUCCGAACACGGCAGUUAAGCCUGAUCGCGCCGAUGGUACUUGGGGGUAGACCCCCUGGGAGAGUAGGGCGCCGCCGGAA